rnacentral:rRNA from 1 species
UGAAACGAGAAGACCACGAGUUAUGAUCCAGAGUACCACGAGACACGUGAAACCUUGUGGGAAGCAGGGAGGACCACCUCCCAAGGCUAAAUACUACCUGAUGACCGAUAGUGAAGCAGUACCGUGAGGGAAAGGUGAAAAGAACCCCGGGAGGGGAGUGAAAUAGAACCUGAAACCGUGUGCCUACAACCGCUCAGAGCCCCUUAUGAGGGUGAUGAGGUGCUUUUUGUAGAACGAGCCAACGAGUUACGGUAUGUAGCAAGGUUAAGUACUUAAGGUACGGAGCCGAAGGGAAACCGAGUCUGAAUAGGGCGACUAGUUGCAUGCCGUAGACCCGAAACCGGGUGACCUAUCCAUGGCCAGGUUGAAGCGAGGGUAAAACCUCGUGGAGGACCGAACCACGUUGCUGUUGAAAAAGCAUGGGAUGAGCUGUGGAUAGCGGAGAAAUUCCAAUCGAACCCGGAGAUAGCUGGUUCUCUCCGAAAUAGCUUUAGGGCUAGCGUCGAGUAUGAGUAGUGGAGGUAGAGCACUGAAUGGGCUAGGGGGCAUAGCGCUUACCGAACCUUAUCAAACUCCGAAUGCCACAUACUUUGAGCUCGGCAGUCAGACUACGAAUGAUAAGAUCCGUGGUCAAAAGGGAAACAGCCCAGAUCGUCAGCUAAGGUCCCAAAGUGUAAGUUAAGUGGGAAAGGAUGUGAGAUUUCUAAGACAACUAGGAUGUUGGCUUAGAAGCAGCCAUUCAUUAAAAGAGUGCGUAAUAGCUCACUAGUCGAGAGAUCUUGCGCCGAAAAUGUAACGGGGCUAAACUUACC